AAUCGACGCUGGCGGCGCGCCUAACACAUGCAAGUCGCACGAGAAAGCCGCAAGGUGAGUAAAGUGGCAGACGGGUGAGUAACACGUGGAUCAUCUACCCUUUGGCGGGGAAUAACCCUGGGAAACCGGGGCUAAUACCGCAUAAGUCCGAGAGGAGAAAGCCGCAAGGCACCGAAGGAAGAGUCCGCGGCCGAUUAGCUAGUUGGCGGGGUAACGGCCCACCAAGGCGAAGAUCGGUAGCCGGCCUGAGAGGGCACACGGCCACACUGGCACUGAGAUACGGGCCAGACUCGGACGGGAGGCAGCAGUGGGGAAUCGUGCACAAUGGGGGAACCCCUGAUGCAGCGACGCCGCGUGAGUGAUGAAGUCCUUCGGGAUGUAAAGCUCUUUCGACAGGAACGAUAAUGACGGUACCUGGAGAAGAAGCUGCGGCUAACUACGUGCCAGCCGCCGCCGUAA
rnacentral:rRNA from 1 species